CCUACGGGAGGCAGCAGUGAGGAAUAUUGGUCAAUGGACGAGAGUCUGAACCAGCCAAGUAGCGUGAAGGAUAACUGCCCUAUGGGUUGUAAACUUCUUUUCUCAGGGAAUAAAACGAGGCACGUGUGCCUUUUUGCAUGUACUUUAUGAAUAAGGAUCGGCUAACUCCGUGCCAGCAGCCGCGGUAAUACGGAGGAUCCGACCGUUAUCCGGAUUUAUUGGGUUUAAAGGGAGCGUAGAUGGGUUGUUAAGUCAGGUGUGAACGUUUGCGGCUCACCGGGAAAAGUGCCAUUGAUACUGGCAGUCUUGAGUACAGUUGAGGUAGGCGGAAUUCGUGGUGUAGCGGUGAAAUGCUUAGAUAUCACGAAGAACCCCGAUUGCGAAGGCAGCUUACGAAACUGUGAUUGACAUUGAUGCUCGAAAGUGUGGGUAUCAAACAGGAUUAGAUACCCGGGUAGUC
rnacentral:rRNA from 1 species